rnacentral:rRNA from 1 species
AAACUUUGCAAUGUGCGAAAGCACGACAAGGUUAAUCCGAGUGGUUUCUGCUAAAGGAACCUUUUGUUAGUCCUAGAAACACUAACGAAUAAGGGGUGGGCAAGUUCUGGUGUCAGCCGCCGCGGUAAAACCAGCACCUCAAGUGGUCAGGAUGAUUAUUGGGCCUAAAGCAUCCGUAGCCUGCUCUGUAAGUUUUCGGUUAAAUCUGUACGCUCAACGUACAGGCUGCCGGGAAUACUGCAGAGCUAGGGAGUGGGAGAGGUAGACGGUACUCGGGAGGAAGUGGUAAAAUGCUUUGAUCUCUCGAUGACCACCUGUGGCGAAGGCGGUCUACCAGAACACGUCCGACGGUGAGGGAUGAAAGCUGGGGGAGCAAACCGGAUUAGAUACCCGGGUAGUCCCAGCUGUAAACUAUGCAAACUCAGUGAUGCAUUGGCUUGUGGCCAAUGCAGUGUUGCAGGGAAGCCGUUAAGUUUGCCGCCUGGGAAGUACGUACGCAAGUAUGAAACUUAAAGGAAUUGGCGGGGGAGCAC